UACGUAGGGGCAAGCGUUGUCCGGAUUUAUUGGGCGUAAAGCGCGUGUAGGCGGCUGGGUAGGUCCGCUGUGAAAACUUGAGGCUCAACCUCAAGAGGUCGGUGGAAACCAUCCAGCUAGGAGUCCGGAAGAGGAGAAUGGAAUUCCGUGGUGUAGCGGUGAAAUGCGCAGAUAUCAGGAAGAACACCCGUGGCGAAGGCGGUUCUCUGGGACGGUACUGACGCUGGAGACGCGAAAGCGUGGGGAGCGAACAGG
rnacentral:rRNA from 1 species